rnacentral:lncRNA from 1 species
CACCAAGAUUCAGUAUCUUGAACUACUCCAGUAUUGCUUGAACUACUCCAGGAGAUCAUCUUAAUUCUGUAAAUUCUAUGGAGUAGUUUCAGUAGUUUUACAGCAACAGUACUCUUGCCUGCAUAUCCUUUCGUAAAACAAUUAUUUUGUCCUUAACUUUCCUCUACAGGAUGAUGACUAUCUAAUGGUGAUUCCCUAUUCCCACAUUUUUUGCCCUCAUGUUGCAAGCUCUAAAGCUGCCCCUGCAAUUUACCAUCACAAGACAUGUCUGGACAGCAAGUCUCCUGUGACAAUUACUCUUAAUUCGUCGUUAUAAUUGUUUGAUGGUUUGCUUGUUCCAACCUCGAUAUCUGCCUUUAGAUUCCCGUUGUUGUCUUUGUAGUGGAAGGUACCACUUGGUGGUAUGUUGCUAUUUUCACUUUGUUCUGAACAAGGCAUGUAUAGAUUUCAGAUUUUAAUUCCUAUCUCUUUGUCGUAAAAAGUAAUGUAUGGUCCUGUGUUUUAUCUUGGUCGUAUGAAAUCACCGAGCUUGAUUCUGUCUUAUAACCUGAUGUCAUCUUCAGUCCCAUUAUUUUUGCUUCUAAUACAAUUGGUUGUCUACACAUGCUAUUCCUGGGCUCUUACCGGCAAAUUGUUACAUAUUUUGUCUAAACGUUCUGACCGGCACCCUCGCGCCACGGCGCGAACCCGAUCUAGUUUCUGUUAUGCUACACAGCACGACAACUACGUUUGCAUUUCUAUUUUUUUUUAUGUAUGCAAAUAUUUUAUGCUCUAUGAUAUGAGAAACUUAUACGUUUAUUGCAUGACAAAAUUAUAAUAUUUAGCAUAGUACUCCCUCCGUCCGAAAAUACUUGUCAUCAAAAUGGAUAAAAAAUGUAUCUAAAACUAAAAUAGGUCUAGAUACAUCCCCUUUUAUCCAUUUUGAUGACAAGUAUUUCCGGACGGAGGGAGUAAGUUUUUGCACGAUAUAGAAAUUGUACUUUGGGCGUGGCCCGUCUCGCUUUAGCGCCAGGCGCUCGUUGGAAUACCCAGCGUCGCGCUGAGACACGAUCCUAGGCUAGGCUGACUGGCUGAGGGUAGCGUCGCGCUCAGGAACCCUAGCGAGCGAACAAUCUUUGGUGGCACGUUCGCUCGAGAGACUGCCAGAGCUGCCAUUAGCGCGUUAGUCAGCGUUCUUUUCCUUUGAGGAACCGUACGUACUGGCUGCGCUUCGGACUGAAAUUCUUAGAGGACUCGUUUCCGGAGAGGACAAGAAAACGCCGUCUCCACCAUAUUACUCCAACAAAACCCGCGACGCAAACACCCACAAGUUGUCUAAUAAUACAGCUAGCCGCAAAGUCUCUUUUACCGGUUAAGAUAGCUACUGGUGAAGCAUCGACCAGUCAUUUUGCUCGUGAUUUGUGUUGUGGUGGCCCACAUCCAAUGUAUAAGAGUGUAUUUGUGGUAGUUAAUGUUUUGUAUAUAGUCAAAUCAAUGUCAGAUGAAUAGUAUCCAUGCCAGUAUUUUUUGCACUGGGAUGUACGUAUGCAUCCACUGUCUCUCCCCUCUCCCUCUCCCAAACAAAUCCAUGCAUUCUAUUUUUGUAUACAUAUUUAGAUGGCCAAUAUUUUUUACAGUAAUGCUCUAUGAUUUAAUUUUUUUCAUAUAUUCAAAUUCCUCAAUAUAAAAUCUUUAGAAUAAGACCAAUCUUGAAUAUAUUUAAACUAUUUUAAUAUUUUCUAUUUCAAUCAUAUCAAAAUAUUAAUUUCACUCAUUUCAAAUUUCAAUUUUCAAAAUAAUUGAAACCACUUUUCUGAAUAUAGUUUUCUUAAGUUGUUGAAACUAAUUUGUGUGAAAUUGAUUAAUUAAAAUACAUUGUACCAGAAAACUAUGAAAUGUGGAUUUCAAAUCUAUGAAAUUGAAUGAUUCAUUGUGUGAAAUCGAUUUUUUCAAAUCUAUCAUCCAAAUCUCCCAUCCUGCAAAUACAUGGCUUUUAUUUUCUCUUUUACAUUUCCAAUCGUUUAUAUAUUUUAAACCGUAAUUUCGUUUUUGAAACAUUUUAUAUAUUUGAACUCGUGGCACUAAGAUCUUUAAUUAGAACAAGAUCAAUAUUGGAUAGAUUUCAAACAUAUUUAAAUUAACGUCUAAUUUGACACAUAUACCUGGCGGAAUCUGUUAUUCGAAAUGAGUGAAAAUAUGUGGAACGUGUUCUUUCAAACAUGUGAAUUUGAUUGUUUCAAUCGUGAAUUAAAUAUUUCAGAUAUAUGAAAUGGUAAUUCUUUUAACUUAUGAAACACAUUUCUAACUUAUUUGAAUUUUAGAGAAAUCAUUUUUUGGAACAUGGUGAAAUUGGAUAUAUUUUUGUGUAAUUAUAAUGUAACUUUUCAUUAAAAUUAGUGAAAUAUGUUUUUUGAAAUGAGUGAAAUCAUUUGAAAUAAGUGAAAUUGGUUGUUUCAAAUGAGUGAAAUCUGGUUAAAAUUUUAGUGAAAUAUGAUUUUUCAAAUGAGUGAAAUCCGUUUUCUAAAAUGAGUGGAACUGAGUGUGAAAAUAUGUUAUUCUGGUGUGUGAAAAGAUGUCAAAUUGUUUAUUUACAAAAUGUGAAACUUACAUUUGUCGACAUGUGAAAGUUAUUUCACUCAACUUAUUAAAAUUUUUAGGGAAAUCAUUUUUUGGAACUGAGUGAAAUUGGAUUUUGAAUGUAAUCGAAAGAUAACAAAUCAUUGAAAUGUCAAAUGACUGAGAACUAUUUUUGAAAUGAGUGAAAUCUUUUGAAAUUAGUGAAAUCCAUUAUCUAAAAUGAGUGAAAGCAUUUGAAAUUAGCAAUUUUUUUUAUAUAAGUGAAAUAUAUGUUUUGAAUUGAGUGAAAUCCAUUUUUUGAAAUUAGUGAAGCUGAAACUAGUUCAAAUGUAUCCAAAAUUGAUCUUGUUCUCAAGAUCUUCUCACUAUGAAUUCAAAUAUAUUUAAAAUAUCAAAAUUGAAGUUUUGAUUCAAAAAAUAUGUAUCAUCCAAAUUUCCACAAUGAAAUUAAAUGGAAGUCUUUUGAUAAGGAGAGAGAUUAUUUUAUGAUAUGCAUGCAGGUGGUCUUCUCUCCAUCCUUUCUAUCUGCUGACAUAAAGCUGACAAGAGCAGAAGGCCCACAAGUAUUCCUAUGUAUUUCAAUUCAUCUCUUUUAUACACAAAACAAAGGCCUAGAUCCCUAAAAACUCUCCAACGAUGGAUGCUCCACCGGUACCUCCCCCCACCGGUAAAAAAAACUUAGUCGUACAGCUAGCCCUCCGACGCAAACACCCGUGCAGAACUAACAUGGCACCCCCAAUCCCAAUUGUGGUCCUCGGAGCAAACACCCGACGCAAACACCCGUGCAACAUGGUCCUCGGAGCGUGCUGCCACCGUGCAAAGCAAGCACGCACUGAGCUCAUCACCGUCGACUCGCCGCGUUCCCUUUCCGCCCACCCCAACUGGUGAGUAGGAAGGAUUUUCUUUCCUGUUCCUCUCGAUCGGAUUCGGAUCUCGAUCCAUCGUUCCAUCAUCAUUAAUCGCAAAAGAUUAAACAGAAAAUCGUGGAUGUGUUCUGCUUUUGUACGUACUGUGUUGGGAUUAUCUUCUUCUGUAAUGUUGUCAUGCAAGUAGUCUUUCUGUAUAUAUAUAGUCAAAUAAAAAUAAGUCUCACACGACACGACUCGCUAUGCGUGGGUUAUGUACGCACUCUUAUUUAUAAGACAUACUCUGUUCUUAUAUAAUGCAUGAUCUUGUAGUCUUUCUGUAUGAUUCUGGUUAAAAAAAGUCUCACAUCGUUUUUCUUUUGAGACAAUAAAAAAGGUCUCACAUGACACGACUCGUUAUGCAUGGCUUGCAGGAGAGAUUGGGCCAACCUAACGGACGGGCCAGCGGGCAAGAUCGCUGAGCGUCUCCUUGUGGACGAUGUCGCCGACUACCUCCGCUUCCGCACCGUGGGUAGCCCAUGGCGGCGAUGCACUGAGUCCCCGCACACGCACAACAGAAUGGACAGCAGGUUCCACCCCCUGCGGUGGAGCAUGCUCCCACGGUGGACAUUAGGUGACAUAUGAAAGCACAAGCGCCAUGACUUCGUCAGCGUUUCGACCAGGAAGCGCAUCUAGGUGGACCUCCCAGAGCUCCGAUAUCAAUUCGUGUUCGGGCUCACAUACAAUGGCCUCGUCCUGAUGUGCGACAAGCGCACUUACGCCGUCUGGCUCCUUAAUCCACUCACACGGCAGCUCACGGCCCUCCCGAACGCGACAACACUCUUUUGUGUGCUCAAUGGCGAGGAUAUCAGCUUGAGGCCAACGAAGGAACGGCCCCGCACUCCUUUCACAAACCAGACGCAUCCCUGCUCGAAAUCUAGAUCCUUCACAGGACAAGGUCUUGUUUUCACUACGCCUCAAUGAAGGCUUAUCCAAAAUGACCUCGGAUAUUACCACGGCCUCCAAGGACCGUAGGAAGACGUUGUGCCAGGUCCUGUCAAUUUCUGGAGAUUUAAACGGCAACAAGACGGGCGUCGGCGGCCUCACCAUGCAUCACGCGGGAAUUAGCACAGCUUGUCCAACUUGUAGAUUUGUUCCCACGAUCAAUCCUUCCGCCCGUCCUUAUUGUGGACAAUGUUUCUGUGUGUGUCCAUCUUGUAAGCUGCGGUACUAGUGACACCCGCUGGCGCUGCUCCAAGCCGUAGUCCAGCAAAACCUUCUUCAGCUGGGAUGGUAGCUACCUUCUUAGGUAAUCUCUGGGAUGCCAUCGUGGAUGAUAAGCGAAAAAGAGCACUCAUGUCAGAUUGUCAGUUUAAUGAUAAGAUUUGUUAGGUGAGUCACGAAUGGCACCCCAGUGUAAAUAUUGUUUGGCAGUAGUAUGUCAAGGAGGCGGUCACUCUCAUCAUCAUCGAGCCUGAUUCUUUUGUUUGAAGACGUAAGAAUGAAAUGAGUCAUCCUCGUCUGAAUCGACGACAUAGACAACCUGCAUCGUGGGAACUAGUCCACUCAGCAAAAUGUGUCCGGCGAGGAGGUUGUAGGGGUGGUGGCCGGUGGCAAGCUUGGGGAGCUGCGUGGCGAGGAGGGUGCCGGCAGCCUCGGCCGAAGCCGGAUCCGACCGGUUGGCUCGGGCCGUCACGGCCAUGUGGCAGGUGGGUAGGCCCGGACGCGGCGAUGGAAUCACGCAGGGAUGAGUGGCGGCCUGCCAUGAUUGAUAAUUCUGUGUUGGUGGGGGCUAGGGUUGGGUGGUUUAAAUACCGCAUAGUUUGCCGAGUACCUUCCACUGGGGUCUCGGCAAAAGAUGCCCACCGUCAUGGGGCCGUCUGCUGCAAACAACAGUGCCAUGUGGCUCCUAUUUGUCGGGUGCCUUUGAAUAUGUUCUCGGCAUACUAUGCGUAAGCCGAGUUCCUUAUGUCAGGGGCUCCGUAGUGCUUCCCAUGUGCCGUGUCCUACUGUUAGCCACGAGUCGUACUCGGCUUACAAAGCUUUUACUGUGAUCCCGUGUUUCAGUACUCGGCAAACAGGAAAGAACUCGGUAAUGAGGAUUUUUCUAGUAGUAAUUCCCAAAAAGAGAUAUUGUUAAGAUUCCACAGCCUCUUCUGUGCAGAGCUAUACACUCUUUUUUAACGGUAGACAACAAUAUUCUUUAUGGAUCUCUCGCCUUUAUUUUUGUAUACAAGAGGUUGUGCAUACGAUACACUGACCGUAUUUCUUGUACACAACUUUAUGCACCGUUGUCAUGUGAGCCCUACGUACGUGUCUACCCGUACCCAGAUGGCCCGGUCAGAGAUGCUUUACCAAGAGAGAAACGGCAGUUUCUUGUGGGUACGGGGCGUAGAGCGUGACAUACAAGAGCCCGACGGCGGCAAUGGCCAUGAGCAGCAGGACGAAUAGGAUGACGGGUCUCUUCCCCCGUUGCCCCAUGAUGCCGAGUGCAAACGGGUAGAGGAGCACGAGGCUCCCCACGUUGAACACCAUCCCGAGCAGCACGUGCCGCGCCUGGUCCGUAGAAAAACCCCAUGUCGCCGCCUUGCCGAUCGCCGCCCCGACGGCCGCGACGUUCACGACGAGCACUGCGGCGGUCGGGAUAAGCAGCGGCACCCAUCGCACGGUGUACAGGUCGGCGAACUUGUCACGGGAGCAGGCCUCCGUCUGCUUGGAUGUGAGCCUGAAGUGCACCCCCUUACCCGUGACGAGCUUCAACGCCAUGUACAGCACGGCUGUCGGGUACACGCCGGUCGCCGCGAUCAAGUAGAACUGCUCGUUGCGGCACCAGUCGAGCAGGGUGAUCCCCUCCCAUUUAACCUCGAACAUGCCAAUCACAUGCAUCAUCGCUAUGACGGCGAUGAGGUACGCGAUGUACGUUCCAAACGGCCUCUGGAUGUACAACUGCUCGGAGAAGAGCCACAUGACCGGGAAGAAGUUGUAGGCCAGGAUGAACACGGUGACGAUCGGGUACGUCGACAUGUUGAAGUACGCGAUGCGUUGCAGAGGGUGGAGCCGGCGGCCAGCCAUGAGGGCAUUGUUGUGGGAGAAGAACACCUCGAGGGAGCCGCCGGACCACCGGAGAACCUGGUAGAGGCGCUCAGUGAGGUUGAUCGGAGCCGUCCCACGGAACGCGGCCGGCUCCAUGGAGCAAUACACGGAACGCCACCCUUGGCGGUGAAUGCGGAAUCCAGUCACCACGUCCUCCGUCGCAAUGUUGUACACCCAUCCGAUGUCUCUCCCCCAUGAACUCCCGUCCUCGUAAGAGCACAUGAUCAGGGCGGCCAGGUCAUUGCUCAGCCCCUCAUCGACCAACACCGGGGUGAUAGAUCGCUCUUGGAUUGCGCCAUCCAGCAUCGAUUUCGUGAACGACGUCGACUUACCGAACUCAUCUGCAUUACCUACAAGCUUAAUGUUCUCCGUCCGAUAACGUGGCGGCUCCAUGCCGUACAGUGUGACACGGCGGAACAUCGUGCCAGUGCCAAGGUAGGAAGGCCCUUGGAGACCGUUGAGCGCGAGCAUGGUGCCGUCGAAGAAGACACGGUUGUGGUUGGCGUAGCGAUCUGUCGGGUCGACGUCGUCGAACCGUUGCGGGAAUUGGACGAAGGCCGUGUUCUGACCGUCACGAGGGUCGAGCAUGAAGCACAGAGGGGCACGCAGAGCUUGCGAGUUGUUGAUGUAGUGGUCGCAGUCGAAAUUAAUGAUGAAGGGCGCGUUGGAGAGCAACGCCGAGACACGGAGCAUCGCGUUCAUGGCGCCUGCCUUCUUUUGGUUGUCAUAACCAGGCCCCUUCUCCCGGGAUAUGUAGACAAGCAUCGGCAGUCUCAUAUCAACGUUGCUGAAGUCAAAGGGAUUGUCGGUGCUCGCCGAUGAUCCAAGCUGCGGUUUACAACCUGGAUGGUCUAGUAUGACCUGUCAAAACAGAAGAGUAGUUUCGACAACUUUGUUAAUAAAAUAAAUUUGAGCAAAUUGAACUCACAGUCAAAUCAAUAUCUAUAUUUUAUAUGCUAAAUAAAGACACAGUACGACCAAAAAUAAAGAGACGUGCUAAUUCGGACGAGGUGAUUCGGUGCCUAGGCUCAGUUGCACCCGCGAUGAACAGAAAAUUCAGAAACAAUAAAUAGAAAAAUUCAAAAAAUUCCAUUUUUUGCAUUAAAUAUAAUUAGAUACGUAAGUUGCGCUCCAAAUUUUAUGUAUUGUUUUGACCCAAUUUGUCUUUGCUAAGAGCUACUUAUAUGUCCAAAUGAUCUGAAAUUUGAAGUGCACCUCACGCACCAAAUUAUCUUCAAUGCAAAAAACAGUCAGAAUUAUUUAAAUUUUUUAACUGGUUCAUAAAUGGUUAUUCAUAACUAUACAUAUUAUACACAAGAGGCAAAAUACAUUGAAAAGAAAAUUGAGAGAGAUAUGCUAGAAAUUCUCAUAAAAAUGCAAAAUAUCCGGUUGCCAAUUUGGUGGAUUAUCUCUUUAUUAACUACAUGGUGCCCCGCGUUGUUGCGGGGACCUUGUUACAAUAAUGUAUAGAUAAGUGGUAGAAGACUAAAAUUGAUGCAAAAACAAAACAAAUAUAUGAGUGUCUUGCAUGGCUUAAUUACCUAAAAAGAAUAGAGGAUAGGCCACAAUCAUUAUAUCUACAUAAUUGUACCAAAACAUAUUAUAAUCAGUAAAUCUUCGAACUAUAUAUGGAUAAAUCACAAUAGAUAGAUUAUCACAGUUGCACCUACAGAUAUCACACACGAAAAAUACUUUUAUGUGCAUAUAAUAAUUAUUAUGUGAACUAUAAAUAACAAGUACAUGUUACCCCCUAUUUAAAGGUAUAAGUUCUCACCACAUAAAAUCUAAAAGAGCGGAUAGAAUGAGAGUCCUACAAAAUUAUGGCUAGCUAAAAAAUCAUGUUACAAUCUCAUGCUCCGUAGACAAUUUAUUACUAUUGGCAACAUAUAAAAUUUCUUAGGGACGAUAUGUAAAAAUGGCAAGGAGUGGCUAGGCACUAACAUGAGCGUCGAUGAAGGAAUAGAUAAAUGAGUGUUGAUUACUGGAAUCGAAGGCUUGAGAGUCUGAUUGUUAUUGAUUUGUUAAUUAUUUCGUCUUUUUAGGAGAUGGAUACAAUUGUAUAUGCAAGAAAGAACCUGAACACAAAACAUAUUUUCUCUGCGAGAAAUAUAUAUAGGCGCCGAUAAGAUUACUUUGUAUAGCCAUGCACAAAAUUAAAAAGAAAGCAGAGCUAAACUAGCAAACAUACGCCAAUUCAUAAAGCGAGCAUGUGGGUUGCGGGUUAGUUUGGUUGAUAUCCUCACAUAUCACCGCCUGACUGUAUAAACAUGCAUGUAGUAUUUUUUUAAAGAAAAGUAUCAACAUCGUUACAUAUACCACAAAAAAUAUUUCCAUUUUUUUUAUUUCUUAGCAGCAUAAUAUAUAAAAUAGAUGUCAAAGUUACACCUUAGAAAAUGUAUCCAUGUCUAAAACACCAUGCCUUUUGCAAUGGAGGAAAAUUUCUUAUUUCCUUUUUUCUCUUUCCGUUUUGUGUUUUAACCCACGAAAUCACUAUCCAAUGACUAGUCACAUCAGACUGAGCUUUAAGACUACCAUCUAGCUAGAUUUAGAGGAGUUGAAUAAUCGAUAGAAAAACUUAAUUAUAUCUGAAUGAACAGAUAGAAAAACUUUUACCUGAAUGAACAAAUAGAAUUUUAUUUAUUUACCUGAACAAUCCCAGCAUGUUGUGCUCUUCGAUGGUUCUCAGCUUGCUCAAUCCAUGUACCCGGCCAAGGUGCCCCAUCGGCCAUCCGAGUGGCAUGUACAGCAUCUCCAUUGUUGUAUGCAUCGGAUCGUUGGCGGAUGAUUGUAGAAAGGGAAUCUAUUCUCACCAUGAACUCAUCGUAUUCUUUGCGCACACGCCUACGAUCCCUCGUGAAGUCUCCCGCCAUACUCCCGGCGUACGGCUGUGCUUUCAUCCGAAAGUAGUUCUCUGGGGACCUUGGCUCGACGCAAUGCUUCCGGCAGAAUGGGGCCCACAACGCAGCGAAACUGGCCACUUGGGUCAUCGCCUCGUAGUGCACCAGCGUACCACCGUCAUCUGAGAGGUAGCAGGCGUACUUGUCGAUGGGGUAGUCGGCGGCGAGGAUGGAGAGGACGGUGUUGACAGUGUAGAGGACGGGUUCGUCCACGGGGUCGACAGUGGUGACGAAAACGUCGAUCCCCGGGAGGAUGGCAUCGCCGUGCUGGUCCGCGAGGGCGGCGAGGUCCGGGAUGCGCUUGAUAGGGUUGAGCUUGGUGAGCUGGUUGAGGAGCCAUGAGAAGCCGAACCAGGCGUCCGCUACCAUGGACGUGGUCCAGAGCCACAUGCCGUCGUGGUUCCUGUGCUCCAGGCGCCACGCGAAGAAGGCGACGACGGCGACUAAGCGCAUGAGAAUCAAGAACCUGUUGUUUAAAAGAAACAAUCAUAGGUAAUGAGAAGUCUGGAAGAAAGCUAUCGCCCAAUAAAGACAUCACCACGUCCAUACAACAAGUUCAAGUGCAACGACCUGUAAGAAUGCAGGAUGCUUCCCUUGACCUUCAUGGUACGGAACAGCAGCGGCUGGUUGCCGUUGCCGGCAUUGGUUCCCUCGUCCGCAGACACCCACACGUCGUCCUUGGCGUCGAGAAUCCGCUUGGCCGCCGGCGCGUUUGCGGCGUCAGCGUUGCCAUCCGGGACCUCGACUCGGAGGGCGUUGACUCUGCGAGUGACGGCCGCGGCCAUCCUGUGAUCGAUAUGUAAAUGCAAUGCACGUUCACCUAGACUAGACAGCUGAUGGUCGAUGCUGAUGCUCGUCUCCCUUGUUGGUGUCGACGAGACGCUGGUCCGGUGGGGGGUUAUAUAGCCAGCGCGUGGGCAAAUGGUAGCACGUACGCAUAGAGAUAUGGUGCUUGGUCUCAUACACCCACGCCGACAUCCUUCACGCACGGUGCAUGCAUUUUGCAUAGUCCCUCCGUCUAGGUGCAUAAAUCAUUUUAGGCUACUCAUAGUAGGGAGUAUCAUAUACUAGUAUCACACAUAUGAUACCAGUGUAUGAUACUACCUCCAUAGUGCAUAUUAUCAUAAAUUAGUAUCAUACAUGAUCAUAUUUAUUUCCAUGCAUGACAUAAAAUAACAUAGCAUUUAACAUUGAUACGGUAUCUAUAUAUGUUAUUCUAACCCUCUCUCUUCUUUAAUUGUGUGCCACAUAAGCAUGUUUGCUAGUCUCAAGUGCAUGUUACCGGUUUAUGUUACUCCCACUAUGGCCAGCCUAUGGCUGUGCGCCGCGAUCAAGUCGGAGGGAAAAGCGAGAGAACUUAAUGUUUAUUUGCUAAUUAAUAGCAUUGCAUGCAAUGAACUGACCACUCCAUGUCGUGUUUGGUAGUCUCAAAUCAUUGAAAGUAUACACACUCCACAGCCCACAUCUCUUAUUGGUUGAUCGCUUUAUUUAUGUCAAAAAAAAAAAACAAGAAACAAGGUGAGAGUUAAUGCACCCCGUCUAAAUGUUUUGGGAUUAUUUGGUUUUCGUAAGGUGAUUUAUACACCUAGACUGAGGGAGUACAUGUUGUCAUCAUCGCUUUUGCAUUUUAGUACUGGUAUUUAAUAGUUAUGUCUAGGUGUUGUCCUUUUGCUCUAUUUUAUCAGGACACAAAAAUUAUGAUCUUCUGUUGGAGCAUUUACAAGAAAAAACUAAAAAAAUGCGCACAAAUAAAAAACCUAAUUUACUUGAGUUACGUUCUUUGAACAAACAGGUGCUAUUACGCAAAUCUAGAGUGAUGCGUUACCGUGUGAGUAAUCCCUAAAUCUAGCAUUUCGGAGACUAAAAUCAUGAACAAUAUUUUGAACAGUUAACUUCUGAUGCUUUGAUGAUGGCUAUUACUCUAGUGACCAAUCUUAUGAAGCUCCCAUCCUUAAUGAUUAUUAAUAAGACGACUUUGACCUUGAUAAUAAUUGUCUAGAUAUUAUUUUAAGUACCCCUCCAUUUUUAUAUACAAGGAACACUAUCAAAAUUACAAUUUGCAGCUCUACAAGGCCUCUAAAAUUAAUCAAGCAGAAAUUGCCUCGUACUAAUAUAGGAGAUCAUUAAUUAUCCCCCUCAUGCAUGCAAGAGUGAGCACAUUGGCUUGCAUGCACAUCAUUAAUCAACCAAAUAGGAGUGAGAGCAUUGGUUUCAUGUGCAUCGGAGAUAAAAAAUACACAUUAAUUAACAUGACAAACAAGGAGACAAGCUGGCUUGCAACAUUAACUUAACCAGGCAUUAACUUUUACCUUGAUACCUGUAAUAUGGGUUUGUGCCCUUGUAUACAAAAAUUGGAGGGAGCGGCAUUGGUGAUGAUGAAUUAGAAGAGAAGCGUUGUACUCCCUCCUUCCAUGUAUAUAGGGCCUAAUGCAUUUUUGGAGACAAACUUUGACCACAUGUUAGAGCAAUGAUAUAUGACAUGCAAGUUACACAAAGCACACCAUCAAAUUUCCUACGUGGAAGGAGCUUCUAGUGAUAUAAUUUUCACAUUAUACAUCUCAUAAUUAUUAAUCUUAUCAAUAGUCAAUAGCAACCUCGAAAAAUGUAUUAGUCCCUAUAUAUAUGAAAGGAGGGAGUAUGUCUCCAUCAAUUCCAUGCUAUGCAUCUUGCUAUACUAAUAUGCAGGGACAAGUGUUAUGAUGACUCUAGUUCGGAUGAAUUUGAUGCUAGUGAACUUGAAGUGCAGGAAUAUUCCUCUCAAAUUGAGGAUGACACUUAUCAUAAGUCGAUAGGCAUCUUAUUUGAUGUGUAUUAUGCUAGCAAUGGUCACGAACUAGAGGAGGCGGACGCUUUGAUUUACCUCCUUUAAUGUUUUGUUUUACUUCCUUGAACGAUUUCCUUACACCUGGGACAUUAUUAAAGAUUGGUGAAUUGCCCACUCCGAAAGACUAAUAUUAUGAAUUGUUUGCCUACAUCGGUAGCCAAACGUAAUCUAGGUUCAUAUAUUGAUCUCUAACCCACUCGAUACAGAUAUAUAAGUAGACAUGUUCACCAUGCUCGGUGCAUCAAUUCUUGUUUGAGAGUGAGGACUGAUUUACUUUCGAGAUACCGAUGCACCGUAAGCGGGUACGGCUCCGACUAAACUUUGCUCCGAGGUGCGCCAAACUGCAGUCAGAGAUAAAAUAAUUACACCGUGGGUCGAUAUCCCUUGGGAUCCAGGUAGAUGAAUAGAGCAUGGAUCCUGACUACUCCCUCCAUUCCUAAAUAUUUGUCUUUCUAGAGAUUUUAACAAGUUACUACAUACGAAGCAAAAUGAGUGAAUCUACACUCUAAAAUAUAUCUAUAUACAUCCGUAUGUGGUAGUCCAUUUGAGAUCUUUAAAAAGACAAAUAUUUAGGAACGGAGAGGGGAUAUGACUAUAAAGAAAGCGCUUCCUGAGAGGCAACUCAAAAGUUAGUAGGUGUCUUUCUUAGAUUUGUGUAUUGAGUUUAGUUCGCAUUCGUGCUUGCAUGGGCACUUUUAUUUUUGCAUGGAUUGCCAUUGGAUUUAGUUUGGGACUAAUCUUGGAAAGGUAAAACUUAUUAGUCGCUAAAAAAUAGAUAUGUGGUACGAAGAGUCGGUAAAACUUCUCAACAUAUAUGCUCCAUUAGGAUAUUAAAAUUAUAGUGCAUGUCCUUAGACUUUUUUGGAGGUAAGUGUUUUUGCAGAAGACGACGAGUGGUAACCAAUCACUGUUAGGACCAGACGAAAAAUCCGUCGACAGAGUGAUACGUAGCCAAGACAGUAACACAUAUCCUACUUUAGCUCCACUCUCACCAAUGCAUAUGAUUACUCUCGAAUAUUUAAGAUGAUAGUGAGGGUCGUGUAUUUAGCUCCACUCCCACACAUAUCUUACUUUAGCUCCACUCUCACAGAUCCUACCUGCCAGCAACAGCGUUGGGGAGCAGCAGCGCAUUAUUUAUUAUUUUACUCUGCACAUUGUGUACACAACUGUUAUGCUCCAUGGCAGUGGCCAUUUCAAUUUUGAAGGAGGCUGACACACUGACCGGCCGGAUGAGCAAAGGAGAAGUAGGUGCGAGUGCGAGUGCAUAGAUGCGAGUGCUAAGGCAUAGGCAUAGACGGCUGUUCCGUGUUGUCCACCAUCCACUUGUGAAGUGUAUCCAGAGUUUUCUUCUCCGUGUGCACGAUGACUUCUGAAGAGACCCGACGCUGUGCUUGCAGGUGGGAACAUGACCGACCGUGUCGACGGAUUUGUGAGAGUGGAGCUAAAGUAAGAUACUAUGUGUGAGAGUGGAGCUAAAGUAAAGAUAUGCAUACGAUUAUUAUGAUGAUCCGCUUACUAUGGCAGUUAAUUAGAGCGCACGAUUUCAUAGAUAUCAUGGCAGUCAAAUCUACUCCCUCGGUAAACAAAUACUAUAAGGCGUUUUAGAUCACUAAAGUAGUGACCUAAAACAUCUUAUAAUUUUGUUUGUUGGUGUCGUUUUAGAUCAUUUUGUUUGUUGGUGUCGUUUUAUAGGUGUUGAUGGUAUUGUGCAGAUAAGCAGAAGGUCGGCAGUGCAACGGAUCCACCCCUUCAAUGUAGAAACUGCACAACAGCCCUCCGCAACACUCACAGCAGCAACAAAAAUUUACAUAGACCAGGGCCGCCCCUUUUCACACAUGCGUCGACCAGACAACUUCACCACGUUCCGUCAGUGCACAUUAUACCACUGCCGACAUGAGAUGCAAAGAACCACACUCACGCCAUGCAUACCUAUAAGUGGCCCAACAUCCCACCACGACCGGACCACCAACUUUACAGCCAUGCCCCAAGUAGUGACCCCAUGCCCAAUGGACCACAUGGCUCCCAUCCAUUUGAGGUAGCUUAGUACUUGUAGUGAUACCGCACUUGGCCACACCGUGUCAUUGUUACGAUAACUUAUAAAUCACAUGUAAAUAGUCCAACCAGAAUUUUAUUCUCUAGCUGUUUUAUCAAGAGGAUCAUUGUUGAACUAGCAAAAUAGAGUGGAUACACAUUUUACAAUAUCAGCAACAAAAAACGUUUUUAUAGAGGGUGCUUUUAUUGACUCAUAUCAUUGCAUCAAGGGGACACAAUCAAAACAAUUCACAUCCGGCCUAUUAAGAUUCACAGAGCCAACAGAAUCACAAUCAAAACAAGUUCACAUUUGCAGACUAUGCCGCCAUUCAUGUUGGUUAAAAACAUCCUUCGUCGUCGGUUCCAACCAAGUACCCACCUCCUCAAAGAGUUGUUGGUGUUCCUGUCGUUGAAGAAUAGAACACGAAUGGAAUCUGUGCUUACACUGGUAGAUAACAUCUAGUGGGUAUGAGUUUUUGUGAUAAAAAACCAUAUCAUUUAUACGUAGUCAUGACGACCAAACAAAAGCUGCCACUCCCACCAUUAAAAUUACACUAAACGUGUUUGCAUAUAGUCAACGACUAAACAUGUUUGAGACACCUGUGGAUACAAGUUAGACGUGGAUGUAGGGGUGGAGAGGGAUGCAGUGCGGCUAAGGGUGUGUUUGGUAGCCCUCCCCAAAAGCAAAUCCCCUGACCCCCAUCAUGCUGAAAGCUUCCCUAGAAAACUACGAAUACAUUUGAAUCUUUAGGAUAUGACAUCUUCUCAAUUGCAUCAACCUUGGCUUUGUCCACCUCAAUGCCUCUUUUAGAAAUUUUAUGGCCCAAGACAAUACCUUUCGUUAACCAUAAAGUGACACUCUCCCAAUUCAAGACAAGAUUUGUUUGUUCGCGUCUCUGCAAAACUUGAUCAAGAUUGCGUAAACAAUCAUCAAAAGACUUCCCAUAAACAGAAAAGACAUCCAUGAAAACCUCAACAAUCUUUUCACAAACAUCAGAGAAUAUAGCAGUCAUACAUCUUUGAAAGGUACCAGGUGCAUUACAUGAACCGAAAGGCAUACGUCUAUAAGCAUAAGUUCCAAAAGGACAAGUAAAAGUGGUAUUUUCUUGAUCAGGUUGUGAAACAUGUAUUUGUGAAAAACCAGAAUAUCCAUUAAGAAAGCAAAAAAUGUAUGUGCUUAGAUAAUCUUUCUAACAUUUGAUCAAUAAAAGAUAGAGGCUAAUGAUCUUUUCUAGUUGCUUUGUUUAAUUUUCUAUAAUCAAUUACCAUCCUAUAGCCUGUGACUAUUCUUUGUGGAAUGAGCUCAUUCUUAUCAUUAGGAACAACAGUAAUACCUCCCUUCUUAGGGACACAAUGAACAGGACUUACUCAUCUACUAUCAGCUAUAGGAUAGAUUAUACCUUCUUCCAGAAGAUUCAAUAUUUCUGGUCUUACCACUUCUUUCAUAUUCGGAUUUAACUGACGUUGGUGAUCAACAACGGGUUUAGCAUCAGGUUCCACAUUAAUCUUGUGCUAAUAUAGAGUGGGACUAAUGCCCCUAAGAUCAUCAAGAGUAUAUCCAAUAGCAGCUUUGUGCUUCCUUACAACUUUCAAUAAUCUUUCUUCUUCAUAUUCCGAAAUGUUAGCACUAAUAAUAACAGGAUAUAUCUUUUUCUCAUCAAGAUAAGCAUAUUUCAAAGUGUCUGAAAAUUGUUUUAAUUCAAACACAGGAUCACCUAUAGGUGGAGGAGGACCUCCUGGAGUUUGAAUAGGCAAAUUGUGUUUAAGCAGAGGUUUUUGUUCAAAAAAGAUUCUAUCUAUUUCAUUUCUUUCACACAUAUGCAAAUCAUUUUCAUGGUCUAGCAAAUAUUGUUCGAAAGUAUCAGUAGGAGGCACAACAAUAGAAUCAAGACCAAAAAUUUCAUCCUUACUAGGCAAAUCUUUCUUAUGAGGUUGUCUACUAAACUUGGAAAAAUUAAAUUAAAUUCAUCGAGAUGUCAUCGUUGUCCGAACCAAUAAAGGAUCUAAGGCUUUCGCCAGGCGCACACGAAUGAGCAUGUGGCAACAGCUCCCCAAUGACCCUUCAAGAAGGGAAACGGCGCCCAAAGGCGUCGCCGUCAUCGUUGCCGACAAGGUCGGCACAAGGCUUUCGCCUGAAGGAUCCCCAACCUGGUUGUCUCCGUAGAUGUCAGCGCUUGAUUCCAACAACACAAGACCACCCCAUCCCCAUGCUAGUCACGGCGACCAUCCCUGCCAGGUCCAGCAAGAAGCUCCGAAGACACGGCCGCUCACCUCGAGCAUCCGUACAAAAAGGAGUUAGAGCAACCUUAGCUGCCAUCAGCACCAAACCUCCCACAACCGGCCACACACCUCCACCACCGCCACAUCAUGCCCCGCCGGCAGCAUCCACUACCGCCCCCCGGCCGUGGCCACGGAAGACCGCCGCCCGAGCCAGCUGCUACGACAGGAAAGGCCGGAUCUGGACGCAGUGAAGCUUCACAGACCAAGCAGAGCAGCUCACCUUUGCCACCUCGCUGUCCAUGCCACCACGCCGCACCACCCAGCAUCUCCGCCCCGCCAUCAUCCUCCGGACACGGCCACCGGGAGCACCAGCAGAACGAGUGAGCCGCUGCUCAAGGGGAGCCAGAUCUGGGCAUGGAGCACCCCCAGAUCGAAGCGGCUGACCUGGACCACCGCCGCCCACGCCACCGCUCCGCUCGCGCGGCCUCCAAGCACCACCGCCGUCAGCGCGCCCCAGGCCGCACGCAAGCCCCUGCCGCCAGUGGAGCGCCCCGNNNNNNNNNNNNNNNNNNNNNNNNNNNNNNNNNNNNNNNNNNNNNNNNNNNNNNNNNNNNNNNNNNNNNNNNNNNNNNNNNNNNNNNNNNNNNNNNNNNNNNNNNNNNNNNNNNNNNNNNNNNNNNNNNNNNNNNNNNNNNNNNNNNNNNNNNNNNNNNNNNNNNNNNNNNNNNNNNNNNNNNNNNNNNNNNNNNNNNNNNGGGGGGAGAAGAGUGCAAAUAGAGUUUUCAGAUAAGAAAUGCAAAUCAAGUGAAGUACAGUAGUAAAUAGUAUUAAGCUACUUAUUUGGCAUGAAAGUGAAAUUAAAUAGUUCAUCAUGAGCUAGUUAGCUUUCAAGCAGUAAAACUGAGGAGCUUAGAAAUUGAAUGGUUCCUGAACCGAGGAAAGCAAGAACGGAAUAGAGGAUACAGAAUUUGAUUUUACAAGAACAAAAAAAUAAGGGCAGCCCGGUGCACAUAGACUCGAACCCGUGACCAGGCAACAACUUUACCGCUGCGCCAAGUCUUCCCUUUUUAAUUUUACAAGAAUGUAGACAAGUAUUCAACACAAGAAUAGGGAAUGGAAAUAGGUCCGUUGAGUUCGACGCACACCAGGAAAACCCUCUAGUUACAUUCUUCAGGAACAUAACCUAAGGGACAAAAAACCUGGCACGCCGCCAAACUAUAGCCUUGUUACACACUGAACAAACCAGAUGGUUCACCAAAUGAACAGUACAGGCAGAAGCACACAGAACUUCUUCUGGAUGACAUAGAAGGAACAUAAACUGAACAUGCAGAAGUGCUUGGAAGAUGGCGGUAUGUGCGAUAGAGUCGUUGCCGAUGGAACCACCUCCUGCUAGCUGAAAUCAAAGGCAGACACAGAAUCACAUGCAGUUCAUAUUGUGUCUUCUUGACGGUGUGGUGAAGUAAACAGACAGUGGAGGGCUAAAGAGAAAACAACUAGACAGAAUGGUACCUGGACAUAGGAUUUUGUUCAUCGCUUGGCUCGACUUGGUCUGAAAUUGAAAGAAGUCAUUGUUAGACAAGGCAAAAGAAACAGGGGACUGGAUUAAAUGCAGAAACAGGAGUACCUCUCCAUCAUGUCGGUAUUUAUCGGCACGAAGGGUGGGACUUUUGGGAUGGCCCUCCGCCACACGCCUCAGUGCCUCCACGGCUUGAGAAAAAUGCUCAGGUUUGAGUUUAUCACCGAGAAGGUCAAUUCUGACUUGCCGUAGCGAAGGAAGAUUCCCUAUGCUCAAAUCAAAAUCACGACUAAUAAUGUCCUUCACUUGGACACCAAAGCGAAGGCGCUGAACCAUGGGCAUGGCUCCUUGUUGGAACGUUGGGUUCACCAGUACAAUUCUGUGGAAAAGGCAUACUCUCGCCUCCGGGAAAGCACCGGCGCUAAGCACUAGCUUCUCCACCACUACUGGGGCAUAGCCUGUGUUAAGGGAGACAUAACGGAGAGCCAACAGCAUCCCAAGUAUCUGGAUAUCUCCGGAUCGCACUUCAUUGGCAGUUAGAUCAAGGUAGGAGAGUAGAGGCAGAGACGAAGAACAAAUCCAUGUAGGCAAGCUCCAGAAACAUCCGUACAAUCUAAGUCUUUGUAGGUUUUGUGACGGCACCCAGGCCGUCAUAAAGUUCUCAAACCAACGACCAGUAACGGAGAUCUCCAGGCUCUCGAGUUUGUGUAGCUUGGCUAGGGAUCCAACCAAAGCUUUACUAGCUUCAACAGCUCCCUCACUAUUAUCUGAAUCCAAUCUAAAGGCGAGCUCUCUUAACCUGCACAGAUGGCCCAGCUCUUUUGCGGUUUCUUCAGAAAGAAAGCCCGUAUUUUGCCCCAUCAGCUGUUCAAGGCAUGUCAGGUUGCAGAACCCUUUUGGUAGUGACAUAUCUGAAUCAAGGAUUAGGCACACCAACUGCCUCAGCUGAACAACACUGGACGGUAAUUCUUUUGAAUUGGUCAAUUGCAAGUCUAGUGUCUGCAAAAACUGUAGCUUUCCUAUUUCCAUAGGGAGCUUGCCAACCUUUGUGCACCUUAACCCCAGAUAUCUCAAAUGUAACAUGUUCUCAACAUGCCUAAGGUCAACACCAGGAUUUUUUCGAAGAUCACAACCUUCCAGAUCCAAUACACGUAAAACUUGAAAUAUGGAAAGAGGAGGGAUCAUACUAAUAGCGGUUCUAAAAGCUGUGAAAGACCUCACUUGUCGCAUGCUUGUGGUAGCCAUCUGAGCGGUGGUGAGAUCUGUCAUGCUCUUCUGGAUGGACAAUCUGCGGAAUUUCUUUUCCAAAGGUGUGUCUCCCUUGAUAACAUCCAAUAUAGUAACAAAAUUUUCUUCGCUUGAUAAUUCGCACAUAAGAUCAAGCAUUAUAUCAUGGACACAGCAAGCUUCAACCCUACCAUUCAAAUGUAUGGUUAUCGGCAUGAUCAUGUUCCUGUUUAUUAGCUCACUGAAGUAACUAUCUCCAAGCUCUAGUAGGCUAGUUUCAUCUUCUACUUGGAUAAAACCUUCAGAAAUCCAUCUCCUUACCAAUCGAUCUCUGCUAAUUUGAUGAUCUUCUGGAAAGAUACUUACAUAUAAAAAGCAAGUCUUCAAAUAAGAAGGGAGAUCAUAAAAGCUCAAUAAUAGUAUCCUCUUCAUUUCCUUCACAUGGUCAUCACAUUUUUUAAGUCCAUGGCCAAUAGAUUUGAGCAAAGCAUACCACUCGUCAAUUUGGUUAAUCCUCUGAUUAUUAGCUAAAUAACUAGCCAGACUAAUGAUGGCUAAUGGCACCCCAGCACAUUUCUUCAAGAUCUUUCUAGAUACAUGCUCCAAUCUAGAAGGACACAUCUCGCUUGGAAAUAUUCUUCUAUAUAAAAGUUUUUGGGAGUCAUCAUCAGAGAGAGGUUCCAUCUUAUGAAUCAUAUCAUCUUUAUAAGAGCAACAUUCCUUAGAGACCUCGACAUGGCGGGUUGUAGCGAUUAUUAUACUGCCACACUCAUUGUCCUUAAGAGCAUAUCUGAUUGUUUUCCAUGCUUCUGUAUCCCAUAAAUCAUCGAUAAUUAUAAAGUACCUAUGCACAUGGCAAUGAGAGAGCUAGAGAUUAGCAAAACAAAACAUGUUUUUUUAUCGAAAACAUGAAAAAAAUGUCAACUACGUCAAUAAUCCAAAGAGUUACUAUCCUUAGCACUUGAGCAGUGGGUGUGUUCCAUUCUUGGAUUUUAAUGUUUGAAAUUUGAUGGCUUGGUGUUUGAGAAAGGGGGCACUUCCAAUUGUACUAUCACCAGUACACAAAUGCAAAUCGAGGCACCACAGCCCCAUGGAACGGUGUGCACGCAACAACAUUUAAUGCAUGCAUGCACUUCGAUUAGAAUAAGAAAACCAUGUCGAUCUGAUAAUUAUACCUCUCCAGUAAAACAAUUUGACCUAGUGCACCAGGGCGAUAAAUUUACUCUCAUCACAAAGAUAUCAACUGCUCCUACAAAAGAUGCCAAAGUAACCGCCUUCCUGAGCAUCAGAGCGAUUUUCACCAUCCGAACUCGUCAAUGUCAUACAUUUUUACAGUAAACGGUGAUUCCCAGGCCGUUUACUCCUGUCUCACAUCUGCGCAUCUUUGCAAGGUGGAUGCAAGGUGGGACUCAUUAUCUAUGGGGUCCUAUACCUGAGAGGAUCGUAGUUGUGUGCAGCGAACAAUGAAGGAUUUCUUGCUGGAAGACUCCUUCAUGGCCGAGUUUGGGUCCUUCAUGUCCGAGUCCGACUCCUCCAUGUAAGGCAAGAUGUAGAGGUGCAAUCUUUAAUCUCACCCAGAAGUGGAGAUGAUGUGAGACCAACUUAUAUAGUGGAGUCUCCCACUCCACUUAAUGAUGGGCAUGAGGAUAGAAAGAGAACAUCACAUGGGCGUGCUUGCCUCACCUCGUCGGGCCUGGCCAGCCAACCGUGCUCGGGCACGGGCCAGGGCUGGGCCUCAAUGGCAGACUCCUACAUGACCGAGUCUGAGUUCUCCAUGGCUGAUUCCGACUCCUCGAUGGCCGGCCAGGCUCGGGCAUGGUCCAGGGCUGGGCCUUGAUGGAAGACUCUGCCAUGGGUGAGUCCGAGUUCUCCUUGACCGAGUCCGACUCUUCCAUUGACUAUUUAGACUUCCUUGAUAGUAGACUCCUUCGCUGAGUCUGGGUCUUUCAUGGCUGAGUCUUCCAUAUGUAUUGCAACAGGUGGAGGUGCAAUCUUUAGUCCCACCAAGAAUUGUAGGUGGUGUGGGACCAACUUAUAAAGAGAAGAAAAAGGGAACGCCACGCGCAGGCGCUCGCCGAUUCUAACUUCCUCGAUGGCGGACUCCUCCAUGGCCUAGUCCGGCUCCUCCAUGUCAGACUCUUCCAAGGACUCUACUUCACCGCGUCACACCAUCAACGACCAACUCCCCUAGCCUGAAUCUGACUCCUCCAUAGCCGAGGCCAAGAUCUCCGUGGCUGCCGGACAUGGGGAAAACAAAAGGGAUCCGCCGCAGCCGGCCGUAGACUAGUGUAUUUUUUUUUUUGCGCCAUGGUGGGCGCAAUCCCACUACAAGAGGAGCUUAAGAGUAAUGCUACACGUACAAACGAGUUACAAGGUUUUACAAAGAGAUUUAAUUUGAUUGGUCAAUAGAUGGGGAGGCGGUCCACCCCCCUGAAAAUCAGGGGGGCAAGUUUGUGAUUGGUUAGUAGAUGAAAAAAAUCCUAGUCAGCGUCUAAUUGCGUGUAACUCUUUGUAUGAAUACAAAAGGUGCCUUUGAAACUGCUAGGAUUUAUGUCCUUACAAUAAAUAUGUCGAGAAAUAUAAUAAAGUUGAAAGGCAUAUUUUGAUGAUACUAGUAUAAUAUAGACUUAAAAAGGUUGUCCAUUCAGAAAUCACCACUUACACAUAGUAUAAGGUUGUGAAAUAUCUAGUAUAUACUAUUAAAGUAACAUUGUUUCUAGAGUUGGGAUUUUGCAAAGUUAACGUAUGGUCAAUUUUUAAUCUAACAAUAAUGGUGGAUAUUUGAUCUGUUAGUUAGUUGUAAAGUGAGUACAGACUAAAACAGAAAAAAAAAGUAGGUUAAUGAAUGGAGAAGAUAGUCUAUCAAAUACAGUCACAAAUUAGGGUGUAGAUUUUCCAUAGAAAGAACAUUUCAUAUUUUAUACCAAGAAAAGAAAAUUGUGAGAAGGAAUGAAAUGUAAGAGACCAUAUGCUGGACGGUUUAGGGAAAGAAAAGACAUAUACAUAAUUUAGUUCUGAAGUAAAGAGACUAGAUGUCGUACACUUGAACAUGACAAGGAGACCCACCGCUAGCAAGAAGAAGGUAGGUAUAGUGAAAAAUACAAGUAGGCGUGGGAACGUAGGCAUGUACAAUGAGGAAUGCAUGAAAAAUAAGGUGACAUGAUUUUUAGAGUGGUGAUGUUUUCCUUAUCUAAUGAACUAAAACAAGUUUAAAAAAUCAAUAUCAGUUCUUUUCUGUAAAUUAGUUAUAUAUUAUAUUUGUUGUCUUUUUUACUUACCAAUUCGUCAGGAUUGACGCUAUGGAUGCUGCUUAGAUGUACUUUUAUCUGCAGCAAUAUAAAUGACAUGGCGUACCUUUUAUGGCAAAGCAAAUCUCGGAUCACAAUGAUGAGCUGCUCUACAUCCAAAUUUGCUGCAUUUAGACUAGUAUGUCUUCUGUUGUCAAGUAUAAAGAGAAGAUUACUUAAUACUUUCUUGAUGUCAGGAUUCCGAGACACGCACACAAAAGCUUUGCAAUCAAAAUUGUUUGGAAGGGUAUCAUAUACUUCUCUUGCAAGUGUAGUUUUGCCCAAUCCUCCAAAUCCAACAAUAGAAAGUAUCCUGAGUUACUCAUUGGACACAGGGCCCCCCCUCACUGAUCUUCUUGAUAAUAUCGUCCCUUGCUUUUUCUAUGCCAAUGAUAUUCUUCUUAUCUCCAUAGAGAACCUCCCAAUGAGGGUCCACAGUAGUCCUUGUGGCUGGAGGUAGAUUAGCAAAACUAACCAUUUCACUAACCAUUUUAUGUCGUGGGGCGACAUCUUGCAAUUGUUCAUGGAUUUCAUUGAUUGCUUUGGAAAUCUGAUGUUUAGCCUUGCCCUUUUUAAACAGGUUCUUGAAGCUGGUCACGGGCUUCUUGAAGUUGGACUGGUCGACAUUGGGCUCACAGCUCUCAACAUGAACCAGGAGAGAGUCAACGACAUCCUCCAUGUCGUAAGACAGUUCCCUAACAUCAUUAGCCCAAAACUUGAUCUGAUCGUCGAGCUCAUCCCGCAGCACCUCUGCCACCUUGCCAAGAGCAGCGCGCACAAUUGUCAGCUGGGCAGAGAAGGACCUGACCUUUUUCUUUACUCCCUUCUGUAGCUUGUUUUCGAAAAGGCCCUUCUGUAGCUUGUACUCGCCCUUGAUAACCUCGCCCAGUUUCAGGAGGAGGGAGCCUAUGGCCCCCAUUGCGAGAUCCAUGGCUCACUCAAUCCAGUUUUAUUGAUGGUCACCGGGCAGAGGCUACCAUCUCUUGAUCUCUUGCACUAUCAAUAGGGAGUUGUUUGCUGUCAACGUUCAUUUUUGGUGUAACCAUUGAGUAUUUUCAAAACCUGACUGGGUGUAACUUGAUUCUAAAUUUAAAUAAAAUGUGAAUUUCAUCGAAGAAAUCCUGGUCAAUCAACUUAAGCUAUAUGGCAAUUUUAUUUAUUGUAAUGUAUAGACAUGCUUUCAUAGUGAAUAUAAUGUACUCCCUAUGUCUGGGUUUACGAGGCUCAUUUGCUUUCUCUUCAGACAAACAUUUAUAUGUCUGACUACGUUUAUCAAGAGAAAUAUCAACAUCCACAGUAUUUAUAUGAAGCUGUGGAUGUUAAUAUUUUUCUCGGUAAAGUUGGUCAAAUUUGAACAAGUUUGACUCAAGACAAGCCAAAUGAUCCCUCUAAACCUGAACAGAGGGAAUAUGCAGCAACCAUACUGUUCAUCCUUUCAUUCUCAAAUUGAUUGUUAAGCUCGAAAGAGAGUAAAAUUGAUGAACCUCCCUGGUCUAACAUAACAGUAGGAGUUGUUAAACUUUUACUAGUGCAAUGCUUCUGUUUUGGUGAAGUGAAUUUUAAAAUGUAUUCACUUUGUUUCACAGGGAGGGCGCAGGGGUGUAAUAAUAUAGAUACAUCAAGUUCCAUCUAUCUCAGUUAAUCUAUUUGUUCAUUUUCCUUUCAACUUACGAGCUUAACAGUAAUCAUAUGAGUGAAGCUCAGUGGAGUGCUCUCAAUGCACUAUUGUUUCGAAUCGGUGACCAAUUCAAGGGACAUCGCUCUUGUCCUUGCAACCAACCAACUCGGUGAUCUUGAUGCUGCUAUUACUGACCAAAUUGAUGAAGUUAUCAAGUUUCCCCUACUUGGGGAAGCGACGCGAUUUCAGCUGUUUAGUGUGGUGGUUGAAUACAAGAUUGCCGAGCAUCAGCAGCGCAUGAAGCUUGCUUCGGAGGCUGCAACUCUAGCAGUGUUUUAGAGUUAUCUGGAAGUCACAUUGUUUCAGAUCGAUUGAGGUAUGGUACUGAGAUAUAAUCGACUCCCACCUAUUUUGGUAGCACCUGUGAUUUUGCAUUACAGUGGGAACAGAAAAUCUUGUGUGUCACAGGCUGGUUCAGUCCUUUUUUUCCUAUACAAACAUGUAAAUCUUUGGCUUGCCCUCUGAUUCCUUCCAAAUAAAUGUCAUGGAAAUCUUGCAUACGUAUAUGUUUGCUGGAUUACAUGUUUGCUGAACCUUACUGUAGUAGUGGUGGCAUAUAUGUUUGUAAAUACUUAGUAAUUAGUAAACCACUUAUCUUCCUAGCAAGCUUAUAUUUUUUUGAAGAUAUGCUUCCUGGGAUAAAAUCAGAGAUAAAAUCAAGAGACAGUUUGUGUCCAGCCCCCUUCCUGGGAGCCUUCCAUUUUUACAGUCUAUUCUUUCAUGUUGCAUGUAUGUAUUUGUUUAUCUAUCAAAAGACUUGAGCUUUUUCUCAUACAAACAUGUAAUGAGAGGAGACGUUGGUUUUUCAUGAAUGGAACUUAGGCUUGCCCUCUGAUUCCAACCAAACAAACACCAAGGAAAAUCUUGGUUCAGUUUAAGUACACACCUUCGUUGAUGUAAAAGCAUGCAUAUUCAUGGAUUUUCUAACUGCUCACUUGUUUGAUCCGUGCAGCACCCUCUCCUCCAACAUAGUCAGCAACUUCCGCUCCUCUCCAACCGCAGGCAGGCAUUCUCGUCUCUCCCAGAACAAGACGAUGCCCGGCAACCCAGGAAGGAACCGCGUCUCUUCUCCGACCCUGACGCCAUGGCACGAGAUGCAGCACAGGAGGCCUCUGGAUCCGGGAUGAGCGUGGCGGUGCUCCUUUGCUUCCUCCACCUCCGUAUCCGAGCUCGCCUUCUUCUGUCGACCCGCACCUGUCGAUUCCAAGCAGCAAGCAGGCAAGGUUGACGAUGACAAAAGGCCCCUUCCGUGCAGGUAGCGACUCCCUCUUCCCGCUCACUUGCUAAUAAUCUCCUUCAUUUAGCCACAAGCUGCUGCUGCUUGCUGUAUGCACUUGUCAAAAUGAAUGAAUGCCUUCCAACUUGACUCUUCUAGUUUAAUGCAUUUCAUAGUGCUGUAUGGGUGCUCUGAUGAUGUGAAAAUCAUCUCAAUUUUUUACUUCUGCACCUAAGUAUGGAUGGUUGCAGACCGACCGAUCGAUCUUGGUUGCCUGCCAACCAUCGGUUACUAGUACACACCUUCAUGGAUGGAUGGAUGUCCUGUUUAUGUUUAUGAAAGCCAAAUAAUUAGCCACGGUUUGUUUGCUAUCGGGAUUUUUGUCAAAGUUAGUUGGCCAGAAAGGGUCCUAGGAAAAGCAGGAUCAAGCCCCCGUUGCUUGUAUCAGCGAGGAGACCUAAUUUUCUCUCAGGUUCCACCUACAUUGGAGACGUACACUUAUACUUAAUUGAGAACAAGUCGGUUUUGCUCAUUCCCUGCCAACCGAGCAGGGGCAUAAUUAAGCAGGUUCACUUGAAGUACACACCUUUGUUGAUGCAAAAACAGGGAAACGUACAUGCAUAUUCAUGGAUUUUCUAACUAACAAGUAGCCUGAUCCUUCCAUCUCAAGGAUUUAUUUGUAUCAGUAUUCACUUGAAGCACACACCUUCAUCCUUCAUUGAUGUAAAACCAGGGAAACGUGUACAUGCAUAUUCAUGGAUUUUCUAACUAACAAUUAGCCUGAUCGUCUCUCCCAGACCAGUAUGAGGUGGGUGCGUGCGCUUCUUCUCGACUCGGGAGGGAACCGCGUCUCUGCUUCGACCCCGACGCCAUGGCGACCAAAGGAGGCCGCCUGAUCUGGGACGAGCGUGGCGGUGCUCCUCUGCUUCCUGCACCUCCGGACCCGUGCUCUUUCCCAAGCUCUGUCAAUCUGCUCGAUUUACUUCUUGGAUUCCAAGCAGCAGGCAGGCAGGCCAGGAUGACGACGACACAAGCUCCCUGCUUCCUGCAUGCCGGCAAUAGAUGGCUCCCUUCCCAUCCCCGUGGGUAGCACCUACCUCCCCAUCUCCCUCUCCCUCUUACCACUUAGCCACAAGCUGCUGCUGCUUGCUGCAUACACUUGUUGAAUGAAUGAAUGCCUCCCAACUUGGGUCUUCUAGUUAAAUACAUUUCAAUAGUGCUCUAUGAGUGAUGUGAUGAUGCGAAUAUUUCCUCAGUUUCUUCAUUUUUACUGUGCACCUAAGUAUGAAUGGAUGCAGAUCCACCCACCGCCGGUUACUAGUACACACGUUCUUACAGAUGGAGUAUACAGCAACCACACUGUUCAUCCUUUCAUUCUACUAUUGAGUGUUAAGGUUGAAAGAGAUUAACAGUAGGAGUUGUUAACCUUUUACUAGUGGGAUACUUCUGUUUUGAAGUUAAUUUUAAAAUUUAUUGACUUUAUUUCACAGGGAGGGUGGGGUUGGGGUUGUAAUAAUAUAGAUACAUCAAGUUCCAUAUCUCAGUUAAUCUAUUUGUUUAUUUUCCUUUUAAUUCACGGCUAAUUUUUUUUAAAUACUACAUUUUUUUAAUUAAUUUUCAUAAAUAUUACGCUGGAUAAAAAAAUUUCAAAAACAAUACACCGUCGGGGCCUAGUCGGCCCACAACAGGCUGAUUGGAUUCCAGUCGGCCUACAGCUGGCCGAUUGUCCACUGACGGCCCACUGUGGGCUGAUGACUGGAGCUAAUUGGCUCGCUGUGGGCUAAUUGUUUUUGCAAAAAAAGUAGGCAUAAAAAUAUAUGUUUAAAAAAUGUUAAUCAUGUAAUUAAAAAAUGUUAAACGUGUAUAAAAAAAUGUUCUUAAUGUAUACAAAAAAUGUACAAUAUAUAUGCAAAAAAUUGACAUAAAAAAUAUGUUUUAAAAAGUGUUAAGCAUGUAUUUAAAAAUUGUUAAAUGUGUGUAUAAAAAAUGUUCCUUAUUUAUACAAAAAAUAUAGAAUGUGUAUGAAAAAAAGUUGACACCAAAAAUGAUUGCUUUGGAAAUCUGAUGUUUAGCCUUGCCCUUUUUAAACAGGUUCUUGAAGCUGGUCACGGCUUUCUUGAAGUUGGACUGAUCGACAUUGGGCUCACAGCUCUCAACACGCACCAGGAGAGAGUCGACGACAUCCUCCAUGUCGUAAGACAGCUCCCUAACAUCGUUCGCCCAAAACUUAACCUGGUCGUCGAGCUGAUCCCGCGGCACCUCUGCGGCUCUGCCACCUUGCCAAGAGCAGCGCGCACAAUCAUCAGCUGGGCAGAGAAGGACCUGACCUUUUUCUUAACUUCCUUCUGUAGCUUGUACUCGCCCUUGAUAACCUCGCCCAGUUUCAGGAGGAGGGAGCCCAUGGCCCCCAUUGCGAGAUCCAUGGCUCACUCAAUCCUCUUUUAUUGAUGGUCACCGGGCAGAGGCUACGAUCGAAUAUCAUAUGAAAAAAAACACGAAUGUUACUGCAACUUUGCAAGAGAUUACAUGAAGAACCAGAAGAUCUAUAAUUCAUAAGGGGGUUCCGGAAGAAUGUUGCUGUGCCGAAAAUCAUCAAAGUUCUUCAGGGCAUCAGGGAGGCAAGCAUGCAAGAGAGCUGCAUCGUCCUGAUGCAGCCUAAAUGGCUAAUGAGCAAUUGCUAAUGAGUAGUCAGGGGGACUGACCUCUAGAGACAAUAGCGUUGCGGGUGGGACGUGCUGCCAAAGGUGCAAGCAUAGGGGAAGACAAUAGCGCCUCGUCAGGGUCAAUCAAUCUUGCUCGCUUGAACUAAGCUUAGCCACACUCCAGGGACAAUUGUUAUAUUGGGCACAAGGGUUCACGGUUGAGCCACACUCCAGCAAGAAUAUCAUUGAAGACUUCACCCAUUGGACUCAUCGGUUUAAGAAACUGAGGGAAGACAAAAGUUUCCUGCUUCGCUGUUCCUUGGCAUGUACUCCCUCCGUUCCGAAUUACUUGUCUGGGUUUUGUCUAGAUACGGAUGUAUCUAGCACUAAAAUGAGUUUAGAUAAAUCUGUAUCUAGACAAAUCCAAGACAAGUAAUUCGGAACGGAGGGAGUAGAAGGGAACAAGAUCCUUCUGCGGUGUUAUCAUCGAGAAAUCUUGUUAAGCGCCAACAGCAAGACCAUGGCAUGUAGUCAGCUACGUCGAGUGUAUCACUACCCAGCAAUUUUAUACUCGAGAUAGUAAUUAAAAUGGGCUGAGGUAUCAAGACUUGUAUCUCUUGUAUCUGUCAGCUAUCCGCCUCUUCUGUGCGCCUCCUCGCUGGCUUGCAAGCAGCGCUCCGGCAUGGCCGGUCGCUGGCUCCAACAGGCCGUUGUGAUUCUGAAACCACUUGUAGUUUGUAAACAUUGGAUAUGUUUUGAUUUUCAAACCGCUUGCACUCCUACUCCGCCGGCGCUACUGAAUUUCUCUGCGCCUACUCGAAGAGACAGAGGUCUGCUGAGUGCGAGGUCAUAUCUUGGGAUGCCACGUGGAGGAGUCUUCCCUGCCGGUGCCGCCAUGCUGGCACCGCCACGUGGAGGAGGCUUAGGAUACAAGUGUCCUACUUGGACAUGACUCCAUAUCUCCAUCCUCCAGUAUGCCGACGACACGAUCAUCAUGGUCGAAGGCUCGGAGAUGGACAUCGCCAAUCUCAAAUUCCUCCUCCUUUGCUUUCAGCAGAUGUCGGGCCUCAAGAUCAACUUUGAUAAGAGCGAUGUUAUGGUAAUGGGGUACUCUCCCGAGGAGUCAGUGGCCAUUGCCAAUAGACUCAAUUGCCGCUUGGGCUCGUUUCCCUCUACCUAUCUGGGGACGCCCAUCAGCCACUCGCGCCUCUUAGCCGCCGAUCUUCGCCCCUCCGUGACCAAGCUCCAGACUAGAUGCGAGCCUUGGCAGGGGAGGUGGCUGUCCAAGGCGGCCAGGACUAUUCUUAUCAACUCCUCCCUCUCCAGUCUCCUCUUAUUUCUUAUGAGUUUCUACAGACUUCACGAAUCUCUUCAUAAGGAGAUCGCCAAAAUCCAGUCCCGCUUCUAUUGGGCUGGGGAGCAAGGCAAGCAGAAGUAUCACAUGGUCAGCUGGCCUGACAUCUGCAAGCCUAGGGAGCAGGGGGGUUUGGGGAUCAUGUGCUCCAGACGGAUGAAUAUUGCCCUCCUCUCCCGAUGGCUGUGGCGCAUCUCGCAGGGUCAUGGGGGCCUCUGGCUGGACAUUAUCCGGAAUAAAUACCUGCGCGGCCAACCCCUUGCCUUCUGCCAGAAGUCGGGUGGCUCUCAGUUCUGGCAGUCCCUUGUCCAGCUCCUCCCUGUGCUCCGCAUUAGUACCUCUAUCUCGGUAGGAUCUGGCCGCUCGACGUUAUUCUGGUAUGACCGUUGGGCCGGUGACACCCCCUUUGCGGCUCGCUUCCCCAUUCUCUUUGCUAUCUCGGUCGACCCCAUGAUCUCUGUUGAUAGGGCCCUAUUUGACUUAGGGCGCCUCGCUUUCCGUCGGCCAUUUGGGCCCGCGGAAUCCGCCGCCUGGCGUGAGCUCCUUGAGUGCGUCGCUCUUCAUGAGCCGCUGGUUGACGGCGGCCAAGACCGUGUUCGAUGGCAUUUGGAGCCGUCUGGCCAGUUCUCUACCAAAUCGCUCUACGCGGCCAUUGCCCCCUCCGCCNNNNNNNNNNNNNNNNNNNNNNNNNNNNNNNNNNNNNNNNNNNNNNNNNNNNNNNNNNNNNNNNNNNNNNNNNNNNNNNNNNNNNNNNNNNNNNNNNNNNNNNNNNNNNNNNNNNNNNNNNNNNNNNNNNNNNNNNNNNNNNNNNNNNNNNNNNNNNNNNNNNNNNNNNNNNNNNNNNNNNNNNNNNNNNNNNNNNNNNNNNNNNNNNNNNNNNNNNNNNNNNNNNNNNNNNNNNNNNNNNNNNNNNNNNNNNNNNNNNNNNNNNNNNNNNNNNNNNNNNNNNNNNNNNNNNNNNNNNNNNNNNNNNNNNNNNNNNNNNNNNNNNNNNNNNNNNNNNNNNNNNNNNNNNNNNNNNNNNNNNNNNNNNNNNNNNNNNNNNNNNNNNNGUAGAGGUCCACAAGCGUAAUGGCCCGGGUUCUGGUCUCUGCCCCCUCUGUGCCGUCCCCGAGGACUCUAACCACAUCUUCUUCGCUUGCGCCUCCGCCCAGUUCCUCUGGAGCUGUUUUCGCGAGCUUGUCGGCGGAAAUUGGACUCACACCAACUUCCCUGACCUUUUUGCUGAACUCCAAGCGUCCCCCUCGUCCUCCCGCCACAUUAGGUGGCUUGAGGUUGGGGCCCUAGCCUGGACUCUUUGGACUGUUCGUAAUAAGCUUGUGAUCGAGCGUACUCCUCUCCGUCGUGCCACUGACGCUCUCUACAAAUUCUCGGGUUUCCUGCAGCUUUAGCGGCCGCUUAGCCGUCUCCUGGAGCGCGACGCCAUCUCCGCCUUCAUCGCCCACCUCCGCUCGAUGGCCGUCCGCCUUUCGCCGCCGCCGCCGCCUCCUCCGCCGGAGCCUGACUAGUCCCCUGCGUGGGUCUCGCCCGGCCUCGCCCGGUUUCUUUUUCUUUUUCUUUGGGCUUGUUGAGCUGUGCCCUCAGCAGAACCUUAUGACUUUGUUGUGGUACUUGGGUGUGUGUGUUUGAACCUGUGGGGUUGUAUGUCUUGUGGCGGUUUGCUUUAUCUAUAAAGCGGGGCGAAAGCCUUUUUCGGUAAUGUACACAAUAUUCGACACAACUCUAACAGCACCGAGUCCCCGCACGUGGACAACUGUAUGGACCGGCGAUUCCACCCCCCGACGGUGGAUCAUGCUCCCACGGCGGACCUUAGACGACAUCUGGAAGUGCAAGCGCCGCGACUUUCUGAACGUUUCGACCGGGGAGCGCAUCCAGGUGGACCUCCCGAAGCUCCGGCGUCAAUUCAUGUUUGGGCCCACCUCCAAUGGCCUCAUCAUGACGUGCGACAAGCGCACUUACGCCGUCCGGCUCCUUGAUCCGCUCACACGGCAGCUCACGGCCCUCCUGAACGCGACCACACUCUUGUGUCCACUCGACAACGAGGAUAACAGCUGGAGCAAUAGGCUGGAAGGAUUGCAAAUGUACGGCACCGGCCUCGCAUAUGACUCCACUAUAGCGCUCGAUUUCGACGAUUAUGGAGCCGGUGUGCGCCGCCCGGUUAUGAUCCCAUGAUCACAACAUUGUCCUUUGCAGGCCGCUUCUAUGGCGUCACCGAGAAGGGCAUCAUGGUGAUGGACCUCACGGCUGCUGGCCAGAGGCCACAACUGGUGGUGGCAGUUGAGAUGAAUGAAGAUCUCUUCCUGUUUCACCUUGACUUUGUGUACCUUGUCGACAAUGACAACGAACUGAUCUUGGUGUGUCGGACGAAAACCAAGAUGCCACGGUACGAGACACACAAGGUGGAUCUAGACGCGGGCAAGACGGUGUCCAUGAACGGGCUAUCGGUGCCCGCCGGGCUGUCCUCGUCUAUCAGUGCUGACACAGUGUACGUGUGCCGCGACGCAGACGAGUCGACUGACUACCGGCCAAGAAUUGACGCCUACCACCUGCUGGAUGCGCUGCUAGAUAGCAAUUGUUUACGGAAGCGGAAGCGAAAGGCCAACCCAAAGGUGACAGGGAAUGAAUGGGUCAACUAGUUGAGCCCAGUUGAACGAGACCCAAGUAGAAGUGUCAUAUGUGCUAGGUCGUAGUUGCAGCAGUAGAUAGACCCAAGUUGAAAUAUGCUUCAUGCUUAGGGAACUUGCAAGUACUUGAAGAUGGUUGCGGUUAAGGUACCGGCUAAGACUGAUGAUAGAGUAGAAGAUACAAUUGCAGAGCAAGGAGGGAGAGGAGAGAGCCGCAACCAUCUUCAAGUACUUGCAAGUUCCCUAAGCAUGAAGCAUAUUUCACAAGUGAUUCGCAAUGUAUAGCUAACAUUAGGCCGAUCACGUUCUUUCUGUAUCUUUGAGGCAGAUCAUGUUGUACGAAGUACUCCCUCAAUCCCACAAUGUAAGAACGUUUUUUUUAAGAAACAAUAUAAGAACGUUUUUCAAGCUUAAAUAGUUUGAAAAAUGCUCGUAUAUUAUAGUACGGAGGCAAUAAUAGCAAACAAAAACAAGACUUUAGAAACGUUUUUCUUGGACUAAAGGGUGUAAGAAGCUGCCUGGUUUGGUCCAAUGUAAGCAGCUACCCUGUUUGCUCCAAUGUCGACAAAAGAAGAAGGGCAUCCAAAAAGGUGUAACACUCUGUUUGUCCCCACAAAAAAAAAAUUUACUCUGUUUGAUCCAAUGUCGGCAGAUAUGCUACUCUGUUUGAUCCAACGUCGACAAAAUCUAUGAGAUACAUGAUUUGAAACUCAUGAAGAUUUUUUAAACCGCAAACAUUAUUUUAAAC